CUGGAAGAAGCUUCAGGGCAAAGUGCCACCUAUACCCCAGGAACUCAGUAGAUGGCCACAAAUAUUUCAAGCCUGUUGGCAGCCGGGACUUCAGAUGCGGCAUCCAUUGAAACACAUCCAGCAGAUGUUGACAAUGACCUUGACCGCCAGGAGCUAGACCAGACAGCAGAUGCGGACGUCACGUGUGGAGGAUGGACAGACUGACCCUUCACUGACUCAAUCACUUCUGAAGCGAUGUUGCACAUCUAUGCCUACAGCAAACAGCAUCGAAAGGUGUCAAUCACUGGUGUGGGCAGAGCAGACGUCCACCGCUUUGUGUUCUGGAAGGGAACUUUGGAGACCUUAGCAUAACAUCUAUGCUUAGCAUAACAUCACUGCCACAGGCUAAUUUGCAUAUCACGUGACCGGACUUUUUCUCUUGUUUGUAAGCAAACGUGCAUAUUCAUAAUAAGAAGUGACUGGAAUUACGCAAGCUUUUCGGGG